rnacentral:rRNA from 1 species
UACGUAGGGCGCAAGCGUUGUCCGGAAUUAUUGGGCGUAAAGAGCUCGUAGGCGGUUUGUCGCGUCUGCCGUGAAAGUCCGGGGCUCAACUCCGGAUCUGCGGUGGGUACGGGCAGACUAGAGUGCAGUAGGGGAGACUGGAAUUCCUGGUGUAGCGGUGAAAUGCGCAGAUAUCAGGAGGAACACCGAUGGCGAAGGCAGGUCUCUGGGCUGUAACUGACGCUGAGGAGCGAAAGCAUGGGGAGCGAACAGG